UUCCACAUGGUCAAGCUUGAGGGGGAGUGUUGAGAUGAGAGGAUAGAGAGAAGAUACAUUGAUAGAGGAAGAGUAUUUGGGCAGUCAGUAACUUUGGGGAUUUACCACGGUAACUUUAGUUUUACUGUGGUAACUAAGUUAAAAGCUUGGGAAGUUACCUUUCACCCAUUUGGAGAGUGGAGCACGUCCAAGGAGAGUCUGGAUAAGGAAGGAGCAAUCUGGAUAAGGAAGAAGCAUUCUGGAUAAGGUCUGGUCAUAACUGGAAAAGUAAAACACCUUUAGAGCCUGUCCAAGCAUGUGAGAACACCCAUUGGCUGCUUUUGGAUGGCUCUCCUUGACUCCACACGUUCCUGAUCUCCUCUGACCCUAUGAUUUCGAAUUGUAUCUUGUAUCACUCAUAUAAAGCCUUGUAAACCUCAUUGUUAAUAAUUAAUGGAGUUUUGAGCAUUCUCUCUUGUUCUUUAUUCUCUUAGUCUCUCUUAAUCUCUAAAUCUCAUAUAAACUACACUAAUCAUCUCUUGAUAUUGAUUCAUCACUCUACAUACACAAAAGUGUAUAUGGUAUCAGAGCCAGGUUGCGCAAAGGGGAGAGUGUGUUUGAUUAUGAUUUUCGAAAUCUGAGUUUCUUGAGGUGUUCUUGGUGUUCUUGAGGUGUUCUUGAUGUGUUCUUGGUGCUCUUUGGUGUGCUUGAGAUUGGAUUGAGUCUGAGGAGAGUUUCUGAUAGAUUCAAACAAGUUAAGCAUGGUGGAGGAGACAAGAUCAAGAAGUGAAGAGAAGAAAGAGAGAGAAAAUGAGUGUGCUUGGCCAAGCUGGAUAAAGACAGCUUUUGAAAGCUGUGGGAUUUGGAGUAAUCA
rnacentral:lncRNA from 1 species